rnacentral:rRNA from 1 species
AAUCCAUAGGUUAAUGAGGCGAACCGGGGGAACUGAAACAUCUAAGUACCCCGAGGAAAAGAAAUCAACCGAGAUUCCCCCAGUAGCGGCGAGCGAACGGGGAGGAGCCCAGAGCCUGAAUCAGCAUGUGUGUUAGUGGAAGCGUCUGGAAAGGCGCGCGAUACAGGGUGACAGCCCCGUACACAAAAGCGCAUGUGCUGUGAGCUCGAUGAGUAGGGCGGGACACGUGGUAUCCUGUCUGAAUAUGGGGGGACCAUCCUCCAAGGCUAAAUACUCCUGACUGACCGAUAGUGAACCAGUACCGUGAGGGAAAGGCGAAAAGAACCCCGGCGAGGGGAGUGAAAAAGAACCUGAAACCGUGUACGUACAAGCAGUGGGAGCACCCUUCGGGGUGUGACUGCGUACCUUUUGUAUAAUGGGUCAGCGACUUAUAUUCUGUAGCAAGGUUAACCGAAUAGGGGAGCCGGAGGGAAACCGAGUCUUAAUUGGGCGUUAAGUUGCAGGGUAUAGACCCGAAACCCGGUGAUCUAGCCAUGGGCAGGUUGAAGGUUGGGUAACACUAACUGGAGGACCGAACCGACUAAUGUUGAAAAAUUAGCGGAUGACCUGUGGCUGGGGGUGAAAGGCCAAUCAAACCGGGAGAUAGCUGGUUCUCCCCGAAAGCUAUUUAGGUAGCGCCUCGUGAAUUCAUCUCCGGGGGUAGAGCACUGUUUCGGCUAGGGGGCCAUCCCGGCUUACCAACCCGAUGCAAACUGCGAAUACCGGAGAAUGUUAUCACGGGAGACACACGGCGGGUGCUAACGUCCGUCGUGAAGAGGGAAACAACCCAGACCGCCAGCUAAGGUCCCAAAGUCAUGGUUAAGUGGGAAACGAUGUGGGAAGGCCCAGACAGCCAGGAUGUUGGCUUAGAAGCAGCCAUCAUUUAAAGAAAGCGUAAUAGCUCACUGGUCGAGUCGGCCUGCGCGGAAGAUGUAACGGGGCUAAACCAUGCACCGAAGCUGCGGCAGCGAACGUAUCACCCAAGACAACUUUGCGGAGUUGACGAUUGACGGAGCGAAGCGACGUCAAAGCGUUCAUUAAAGUCGAGUUGGCUUAGGGAUACGUUCGUUGGGUAGGGGAGCGUUCUGUAAGCCUGUGAAGGUGUGCUGUGAGGCAUGCUGGAGGUAUCAGAAGUGCGAAUGCUGACAUAAGUAACGAUAAAGCGGGUGAAAAGCCCGCUCGCCGGAAGACCAAGGGUUCCUGUCCAACGUUAAUCGGGGCAGGGUGAGUCGACCCCUAAGGCGAGGCCGAAAGGCGUAGUCGAUGGGAAACGGGUUAAUAUUCCCGUACUUGGUGUUACUGCGAAGGGGGGACGGAGAAGGCUAUGUUGGCCGGGCGACGGUU